rnacentral:misc_RNA from 1 species
AAAAUUGCCAGUUGAUUGGUUAUGCCCCAAGGCGGAAUCUCAAGAACCAAAUUUCAUCGAGAACUGAAUGUUCUUUGAACUCAAAUAAGGAUGGACAGGGCUCUGCUAGAUGUGGAAAAAGAUCUCCAACAGAUGCAAUUAGUCCAAACCAGCAAAGUUCUAUUACUGGGAAUCAACGAUUUCCACCAGCUAAUGCAGUUAAUCAGAAUGCCCAAGCCUUUAAUAAUAUGGACUUGAAAUCUCCAGCAGAUGCAAUUAGUCCAAAUCAGCAAGGAUCUAUUACUGGGAAUCAACGAUUUCCACCAGCUAAUGCAGUUAAUCAGAAUGCCCAAGCCUUUAAUAAUAUGGACUUGAAAUCUCCAGCAGAUGCAAUUAGUCCAAAUCAGCAAGGA